AUUGAAGUUUAGAGGAGGAGCAAAGCUGCGGCCAUCGAUUGCAGUGAAGCCCUUUUUGGAGUCUGGGCACUUUUACGCACAAAACAGAAGCAGGCCAUCUAUCCCCUUUAAUAUUUAGCUCCGUCAGUGCUAAUAUGGCAUCAUGGCUGUAUUGACAGCUUCUCACAUAAAGGCUCCAUUUAUGGCUCCGUGACAUUUUUGAUGGUGGGAAUUAAUUAUUCACAGGUUAGGAUUAAGGAAGACACACGCUCAGGGAGAUGGGCUGUGGCUACUGUUGGAGGGUCAAUAAACUCUCCCAACAAACAAAAUACCCAGCAGAGUUGCUCGGGGUCGGUUACAGAAAUAGCAGGGUAAUUUAUUUAUUUAUUUGUAAUUUUUUUUUUGUUAAGAAAAGGGGGAGAAAGAUUUAAUAAAUGAAACCGUGACAACAGUUAUGUUUGUUGGCAUAAAGGGGGGUGGGAAGUGUAGGACUGCAGGGUUUGACAAACGGCUGUGUGGACAUUUCAACGUGCAAUACCCCGGGAAGGAGCUGCAGAGCGGUGCGCAGAGAGCCAAGGCAUUCACCGUCUCCAAGUCUCUCUCUCUCUCUCUCUCUCCCUCUCUCUCCUACACUCUGUAAACACAACCAGCCCGGCAGACUCUACUAUUGAAGACUGAUAUUUUCAUAAGCUAAAUACUAUCGUUUACAUUGAUUUGUGCACUAACGUUUGACUUUUUUUUUCCCUCCAUCCUCCUCCUCCUCCUCCUCCUCCUUUGGACAAGCCCGACCCACUGGAAAAUAUGCGGCCAUGUAGCGACACCUGGCGGCCACAGCGGAUGCGGAGCUGCCGACAGCAUUGCAACAAAUGAAAGAAGGCCCUCAAAAUAAAAAUAAAGAAUGACUCAAUUUACGCAAAAACGUUCCAAAAAAUGUCAACAAAAUCUUGUUGUUCUGUUUUUAAAAUUAAAUGAAAGGUAUUGCGGUCAAAUGUAUUAAUUUCUCACAGCACAGACUCGUAAAUCUUAACACAUGAAUAUUAUGAAAUGAUGGUUUUGUCUUAGUGAGCUGUCUGAAUCGAGCGCCCCGUGCAUUUGUUUGUGAUAGCGUUUAAUUUAUUCGCUGGCGAUGCUUUGACCAUAAAUCCGGUCGAACUGUUCACACCCUUCACAUCUGAUGCUGCUGCACGACGCUGACACACAAACCAGAGAAACGCGGCCCUUAUUUGUCACACUUUGUCUUUAAUUACGUGUACAAGAAUUAUUUGUGGAUUUAUUUAUGUGAUUUUUCAAUUGGUUUCGAUAGCAAGUCGACCUUCAUGUAAAUCCAAAUCGGUUGGCUUAGUUAGGAGAAGUGUUUAUACACCCAGUUUUAUGUCUAACCCCAAAAUGCACUGACACUUUAGUCCAUAUUUUUAUUUUAAUUUGGACGGAUUUUAAUAUCUGCUUUUAUUCUGUAUUAUGCUGCAUUUUGAAAAACAGUUAAACCUAAACAUUUAAAAGAGAGAAAAAAAUAGAAUCAUAUUGUGAUUUUGAAAACAGUCCGUCGAAAUGAUCUUAUGAUUAUAUUAUUAAUCUUAUUAUCACGCUCUAAUAAAAAGAAACAACGUUGGAAAAUAACGCCUUUAAAAUUCCUCUUCACGUCAUUUCAAUUCUUUUAGGCCUACUGCGCUUUUGACGCGGCAGAAUUUCGAAAGCUGAGAGCGUUUCUCCGACACGUAAAGAAUAAAAUAAAUAGUUCCUUGUCGAGCUGCCAGCUCCCUGCCAUGUGUGCAGCCUGUGUGCAGCCGUGCUCGGCGGUGACACACUUUGAGCAGGUCACCGCCGAGAUUAGAGCCCGUCGUUAACGCCUGUGCGGAUACACCAAAUGCUGAUUUAAUGAGCUUGCAUUGGAUGUUUGUCCCAGAAUACCUGGUGUGCAUGUGUUAGUAACGCCACAGACUAUAAUCCCCGUGUUUCCCCCCUAACACGUGGCUUUAGGGACAGCCUUAUACCUCCAUGUACAAAGGCGCCUGUAGAGAUUUGAGUACGAUUUUUUUUUCUCCACCCAGUUAGAUUGAACAGGUCGAAGCCUAUAAGGCCCGCAUUCAGCCACAUUACCAGAUGUAAUUGAGAGAAGUUUAAGUGGAGGCCGGGAAACCGAGGAGUUAAUAGCGGUGACCCUCUUGCUGUGCCUCUGUCGCUCAUCAUUUAUCAGGCUUAAGGGGCUUAAACAGGCAGCACAGACCCACCUUUUAUUACAUAUCAAACCCCUCUCUCCCCUUAUCUACAUUAUAGGAAAUACAUGCAUCGUUGCCUGUUAUGCGGAUUUGGAAAUAGAAACAUGUCCAAUAAAGUCGCCCUCCUCCGCUGAUCAGAGGAAAUAUGGCUUCAGGCGCCGCAGAGACAAGCCCGCCGGUUUAAGCCUUUAUUAAAUUGUCUUAAUUCCCCUCUCCGCUUUGAAAUGAAUACAAAUUUCCACUCUUGUGUUGUUUGUCCAGUGCGGAAGCGGGAGGAAUGUAAGUGCGGAUGUUUUCACGGUCCCCAAUAUGAUUAGAACGUGAAUAAAAUGGCACCGAGUUAAAAGGACGCUGCAAGCUGCUAAACUUGUCCAGAUCCGGGAGAAAAAACAACCGCAUAGAGUUUUGAAACUCGAGAGCAUCACAGACAUUUAACCAGGCUGUAAAGACAGUAGACAUGAACACCUUAUCCUAAUGCUUAAGAUAACAGGCGAAACUACCUGCACGAACGCAAUCAAUGAAAGCGUGAGGAAAAGAGACCAAACGUCUUUGUGAAAAGUUGAGAUUAUUUUUCUGUCUUCCGUCAUUUUAUUUAUAGCCUUAAUGAAUUACAUGUCGGGGAGACCAGUAAAAAGGCUGAAAACUCUUAACUCUGUGCUCGUUUAACUCAAAACAUUCAUAGCUUAUUUUUUCAGUGCUUAAAUCUAUUUUUAUUUCAUAUUCGGCUACGCGAGGGGUUUAUUUUUUUUGUAUUUAAAGAAAUGCUGGCACAGUGUUUUCAGUUAAAACUUGAGGGCCGAGCCUGAGUUGUCUGCUGGUUUCCUCCAAGGAGAGCUCAGUCAGUGAGCCUGAACGCAGCUGCAUUCACAUGGAGUGACGGGUUUUGAUAUUCUAGUCACACAACAGAGUAAACACUGCUUUCCUAUUCAAUAAACAUCAUUGACAAGGUUCCAUAUCCAGCUAUUUGAAAUACCGAGCUUAACCCCAGUCAACAUCAGCGUCUUUUUAUUUGUAAAUGAAAGUUUAUUUUUCAUUAUCUUGUAGUCUGUACCCUGCACAUACUGUAAUUGUACUUUGUUCUUUGAAAAUUGACUGUACAUUUUGUAAAUUUUCCUGAUGUUUUAAUGUCAUGCCAUUAAAAUAUUUCUAAAUA